rnacentral:rRNA from 1 species
CGGCGGAUGGGUGAGUAACACGUGAGGCAAUCUGCCCUAAAGACUGGGAUACCACUUGGAAACAGGUGCUAAUACCGGAUAACAACAUGAAUCGCAUGAUUCAAGUUUGAAAGGCGGCGCAAGCUGUCACUUUAGGAUGAGCCCGCGGCGCAUUAGCUAGUUGGUGGGGUAAAGGCCUACCAAGGCAAUGAUGCGUAGCCGAGUUGAGAGACUGAUCGGCCACAUUGGGACUGAGACACGGCCCAAACUCCUACGGGAGGCAGCAGUAGGGAAUCUUCCACAAUGGACGCAAGUCUGAUGGAGCAACGCCGCGUGAGUGAAGAAGGUCUUCGGAUCGUAAAGCUCUGUUGUUGGUGAAGAAGGAUAGAGGCAGUAACUGGUCUUUAUUUGACGGUAAUCAACCAGAAAGUCACGGCUAACUACGUGCCAGCAGCCGCGGUAAUACGUAGGUGGCAAGCGUUGUCCGGAUUUAUUGGGCGUAAAGCGAGCGCAGGCGGAAUGAUAAGUCUGAUGUGAAAGCCCACGGCUCAACCGUGGAACUGCAUCGGAAACUGUCAUUCUUGAGUGCAGAAGAGGAGAGUGGAACUCCAUGUGUAGCGGUGGAAUGCGUAGAUAUAUGGAAGAACACCAGUGGCGAAGGCGGCUCUCUGGUCUGCAACUGACGCUGAGGCUCGAAAGCAUGGGUAGCGAACAGGAUUAGAUACCCUGGUAGUCCAUGCCGUAACGAUGAGCGCUAGGUGUUGGGGGACUUUCCGGUCCUCAGUGCCGCAGCA